UGAAAGUAGCACCUGCCACAUCCUCAGAGAUCUGCAGCUUCUCUGUGAUGAUACUCAGGGCUGGGACAAAAAACUCAUCACACACGAUGGCCAAGGCCACAAACAGGGUACACAGAUGGCAUGCUGCUUUAGGUUACUUUAAUGUGAAACAGCAGGCAGUUCUUCUCAGCUUCACCUCUGCCUCAUGCUACCCUGAGUGGCCUGGAAUAUAAGAAGAGCCUUUGCAAGAGCAGUCCACUGCGUCAAGACAGAAAAAAAUAAAGGAACUGGGAGAUUAUGCAAAGGAAGCUGUUCAUUGAUUUCCUUUAAUGUAUCUGUGGAAACAUGCAAACACUGAGGGUCUCUUGAGUAGGGAAAAGAAAUUCAUUACCUUUCGUGCCAAUGUUCUCUGAUUUUAUAUUCUCUGAACAACCUUUGAUUUUUAAUGGCGCUCUAAGAAGAAGGGGGAAAAAAAAUCAAGACACUUAAU